CCGCCGGCUCUCCACGUCCUACUGGAAGAGCCGGGAGCUGCGCCGGUCGCGGAUAGCGAGACGGUCGACCGACAUCUCUGGGGUCAAUAUAUGUCUCCAGCAGAC